rnacentral:rRNA from 1 species
UACGGAGGGUGCAAGCGUUAUCCGGAUUCACUGGGUUUAAAGGGUGCGUAGGUGGGUCUGUAAGUCAGUGGUGAAAUCUCCGUGCUUAACAUGGAAACUGCCAUUGAUACUAUAGGUCUUGAAUUUUCUGGAGGUCAGCGGAAUAUGUCAUGUAGCGGUGAAAUGCUUAGAUAUGACAUAGAACACCAAUUGCGAAGGCAGCUGGCUACAGGGAUAUUGACACUGAGGCACGAAAGCGUGGGAUCAAACAGG